rnacentral:rRNA from 1 species
GAUGAACGCUAGCUACAGGCUUAACACAUGCAAGUCGAGGGGCAGCAUGGUCUUAGCUUGCUAAGGCCGAUGGCGACCGGCGCACGGGUGAGUAACACGUAUCCAACCUGCCGUCUACUCUUGGACAGCCUUCUGAAAGGAAGAUUAAUACAAGAUGGCAUCAUGAGUUCACAUGUUCACAUGAUUAAAGGUAUUCCGGUAGACGAUGGGGAUGCGUUCCAUUAGAUAGUAGGCGGGGUAACGGCCCACCUAGUCAACGAUGGAUAGGGGUUCUGAGAGGAAGGUCCCCCACAUUGGAACUGAGACACGGUCCAAACUCCUACGGGAGGCAGCAGUGAGGAAUAUUGGUCAAUGGGCGAUGGCCUGAACCAGCCAAGUAGCGUGAAGGAUGACUGCCCUAUGGGUUGUAAACUUCUUUUAUAAAGGAAUAAAGUCGGGUAUGCAUACCCGUU